rnacentral:rRNA from 1 species
GACGAACGCUGGCGGCGUGCUUAACACAUGCAAGUCGAACGGAAAGGCCUCUUUCGGGGGGUACUCGAGUGGCGAACGGGUGAGUAACACGUGAGUAACCUGCCCUUGACUUUGGGAUAACUUCAGGAAACUGGGGCUAAUACCGGAUAGGAGCUCCUGCUGCAUGGUGGGGGUUGGAAAGUUUCGGCGGUUGGGGAUGGACUCGCGGCUUAUCAGCUUGUUGGUGGGGUAGUGGCUUACCAAGGCUUUGACGGGUAGCCGGCCUGAGAGGGUGACCGGCCACAUUGGGACUGGGAGACGGCCCCGACUCCUACGGGAGGCAGCAGUGGGGAAUCUUGCACAAUGGGUGGAAGCCUGAUGCAGCAACGCCGUGUGCGGGAUGACGGCCUUCGGGUUGUAAACCGCUUUCGCUCAUGACGAAGCUUUGUGUGACGGUAGUGGGUAAAGAAGCACCGGCUAACUACGUG